rnacentral:rRNA from 1 species
CCUACGGGUGGCAGCAGUGAGGAAUAUUGGUCAAUGGGCGCAAGCCUGAACCAGCCAAGUCGCGUGAAGGAUGACUGCCCUACGGGUUGUAAACUUCUUUUAUCAGGGAGUAAAGUGAGCCACGUGUGCCUUUUUGUAUGUUAUUUGUAAAUAAGGCUCGGCUAAAUCCGUGCCAGCCGCCGCGGUUAUACGGAGGAUCCGAGAGUUAUCCGGGUUUAUUGGGUUUAAAGGGUGCGCAGGCGGAGGGAGAAGUCAGCGGUAAAAUCGCGGGGCUCAACCCCGGUCCGCCGUUGAAACUGUGUCCCUUGAGUGCGCGAAGGGUAGGCGGAAUGCGUGGUGUAGCGGUGAAAUGCAUAGAUAUCACGCAGAACUCCGAUCGCGAAGGCAGCCUACCGGCGCGCAACUGACGCUGAGGCACGAAAGCGUGGGGAUCGAACAGGAUUAGAUACCCCAGUAGUC